rnacentral:rRNA from 1 species
UACGAAGGGGGCUAGCGUUGCUCGGAAUCACUGGGCGUAAAGCGCACGUAGGCGGAUUGUUAAGUCAGGGGUGAAAUCCUGGAGCUCAACUCCAGAACUGCCUUUGAUACUGGCGAUCUCGAGUCCGGGAGAGGUGAGUGGAACUCCGAGUGUAGAGGUGAAAUUCGUAGAUAUUCGCAAGAACACCAGUGGCGAAGGCGGCUCACUGGCCCGAUACUGACGCUGAGGCACGAAAGCGUGGGGAGCAAACAGG